rnacentral:rRNA from 1 species
UCGAACGAAGUAGCAAUACUUAGUGGCAGACGGGUGAGUAACAUGUAGGUAUCUGCCCUUUGGCCUGGAAUAACACGAGGAAACUUGUGCUAAUACCGGAUAAGUCUUUACGGAGAAAGCUUUAUGCACCAUUGGAUGAGCCUGCACUUGAUUAGUUUGUUGGUGGGGUAAUGGCCUACCAAGACUGUGAUCAAUAGCUGAUUUGAGAGGAUGAUCAGCCACAUUGGGACUGAGACACGGCCCAAACUCCUACGGGAGGCAGCAGUGGGGAAUCUUGCACAAUGGAGGAAACUCUGAUGCAGCGAUGCCGCGUGAGUGAAGAAGGCCUUUGGGUUGUAAAGCUCUUUCGUCGGGGAAGAAAAUGACUGUACCCGAAUAAGAAGGUCCGGCUAACUUCGUGCCAGCAGCCGCGGUAAUACGAAGGGACCUAGCGUAGUUCGGAAUUACUGGGCUUAAAGAGUUCGUAGGUGGUUGAAAAAGUUAGUGGUGAAAUCCCAGAGCUUAACUCUGGAACUGCCAUUAAAACUUUUCAGCUAGAGUAUGAUAGAGGAAAGCAGAAUUUCUAGUGUAGAGGUGAAAUUCGUAGAUAUUAGAAAGAAUACCAAUUGCGAAGGCAGCUUUCUGGAUCAUUACUGACACUGAGGAACGAAAGCAUGGGUAGCGAAGAGGAUUAGAU